CAAUAGCGUAUAUUAAAGUUGUUGCGGUAAAAAAGCUCGUAGUUGGAUUUCUGUUGAGAGCGACCGGUCCAUACCAUGUAUGCGUAUCUGGCUUGCUCUCGGCAUCCUCUCGAUAGACGUUACUGCGCUUGAUUGCGUGGUGCGGAUCUCGGGACUUUUACUUUGAGGAAAUUAGAGUGUUCACGGCAGGCUUUCGCCAGAAUACAUUAGCAUGGAAUAAUACUAUAGGAUCUUGGUUCUAUUUUGUUGGUUUCUAGAAUUGAGAUAAUGAUUAAUAGGGACAAUUGGGGGCAUUCGUAUCAACACGUCAGAGGUGAAAUUCUUGGAUUUGUUAAAGACGGACUACUGCGAAAGCAUUUGCCAAGGAUGUUUUCAUUGA
rnacentral:rRNA from 1 species